UCACAGUCUAAAUAGGAGGGAGAACAAGUAUUUAAUCCCUAUUUUACAGUUGAGGAAAUAGAGGCACGGAUAAAUUACGUCCAAUUUCACACAGCAAGCAAUUGGCGGAGCUGGGAUUUGAACUCAGGUCUUCUGACUCCCAGGCCCAGUAGGCUGCACUGAUGAAAGACUGAUUGUUUGAUUUAUUCAGGGUUGCCCUACACGCCCUGAUAUUGGGAGCAACAUGGUCUAGUAGAAAGAACAUGGACCCAGGAGUCAGAGGAGCUAAUUCUGGCUCCCCCAUUUUGCCUGCUACAUGACUCGGCGCAAGUCACUUAACUUCUCUGUGCCUCAGUUGUUUCAACUGUAAAAUGGGGACUUAAAUCCUGUUAUCCUAUUUAGACUGUAAGUCUUAUGUGGCGCAGAGACUGUGUCCAUUCUGAUUAACUUAUUCCUACUCCAGAGCUUAGAAAAGGUGCUUGAGGAAUAGGAAAUGCUUAAGAAAUGCCACGAUUAUUGUAACUGUCUUUCCUGUUUAUCCCAGGUACCAGAGAACUGAGAGUGACCCUCAGCACUUCCUUACCUCUGCAACAAGGCAGUAAAGAAAGAUGCCACUGCUCUCUAUCCAUAGCAUGCAAGCCAGGACUCCGAAGCCAACAGACGUCAACUAAUGGGCCCGCGAUGGGCUAAAGCACGUGUGCCAGGAUUUAAAGGAAAAUCGUCAAUAGCGCGUAGUUUGGCAUGUUGAU
rnacentral:lncRNA from 1 species